rnacentral:rRNA from 1 species
AACGAACGCUGGCGGCAGGCUUAACACAUGCAAGUCGAGCGCCCCGCAAGGGGAGCGGCAGACGGGUGAGUAACGCGUGGGAAUCUACCCAUCUCUACGGAAUAACGCAUGGAAACGUGUGCUAAUACCGUAUACGUCCUUCGGGAGAAAGAUUUAUCGGAGAUGGAUGAGACCGCGUUGAAUUAGCUAGUUGGUGGGGUAAAGGCCUACCAAGGCGACGAUCCAUCGCUGGUCUGUGAGGAUGAUCAUCCACACUGGGACUGAGACACGGCCCAGACUCCUGCGGGAGGUAGCAGUGGGGAAUAUUGGACAAUGGGCGCAAGCCUGAUCCAGCCAUGCCGCGUGAGUGAUGAAGGCCCUAGGGUUGUAAAGCUCUUUCACCGGUGAAGAUAAUGACGGUAACCGGAGAAGAAGCCCCGGCCAACUUCGUGCCAGCAGCCGCCGUAAAAC